rnacentral:lncRNA from 1 species
GGAGCAUGCUUAAAACAGCAUUGGGUCCAUGUGUCCGACUUCAAUUUUCCCCGAUUGUUUGUUGCUCAUCAAUAGAAUAAUUCGUUUGCAUUGGAAAGUUUUCAUCGCAAACUCCAAAUAUUUGAACCUUUCGAGGCGUUAAAAAGUAAAGAGCUCCAACCUCUUGGGACGAAUGUUGCAAGUUUAUAUAUUGUGAAAAGUCAAUAGUGUGAUGAACAUUU